rnacentral:rRNA from 1 species
AGAGUGAACGCUGGCGGCAGGCCUAAUACAUGCAAGUCGAACGGCAGCACAGCAGAGCUUGCUCUGUGGGUGGCGAGUGGCGGACGGGUGAGGAAUACAUGGGAAUCUGCCCAGUCGUGGGGGAUAACGUAGGGAAACUUACGCUAAUACCGCAUGCGCCCUUCGGGGGAAAGCCGGGGACCUUCGGGCCUGGCGCGAUUGGAUGAGCCCAUGUCGGAUUAGCUAGGUUGGGGGGGUAAAGCCCACGAAGGCGACGAUCCGUAGCUGGUCUGAGAGGAUGACCAGCCACACUGGAACUGAGACACGGUCCAGACUCCGUACGGGAGCAGCAGGUAGGGAAUAGUUGGACAAGUGGGCGCAAGGCCUAGGACUCCAAGCCCAGUCGCCGCGUGUACGUGGAAAGACGGUCCUUCGGUAGUAAACGCUACCGUUUGACCGGUAAAAGAAACGCGUACGUUACGGGUUAACCACCGGUUGGU